UUUUUUUUUGGCACGUAUUUCGUAUCCCUGGGGUGAUAAAACAGUCUAUUCUUUGCAAGUUGUGUAUUUACAAGAGAGAAACAUGAAAAUGCCUCAAAAGUUUCUCGGUGCUUUGUGAUUAAGAGUUCACACCACUGCUCUAUUUCUAUAGCCGUUUCUUCCAAGUCUCACCUUGGAACUUCAGGCAUUGCUAGUGCCAUCUGACUGGGUUGGAGUGUACUUCUUCAUAAGGCUGGCUCGUCGAGCAUCAAACUCUCUAUUUCAAGCUUCCUGCGCUUCAUUGCAGUCAGCUUCUCAGCAUAUUCUUUAAUCAAGUCAUAUCCCUCUCACCCAAAUGCAUAGCAAUAUUGUAGUGUAUAGGUUUUCUUAGAAGUCCAUAACAUGCACGCAGCAGCAUCAAGUAGCCAACAUCAGUUUUCAGGUGUACAAUCUUUUCUAUGAUAGACAAAAUUAUAUCCAGUUACUAGCAGUACCUCUUCCUUGUUCUGUUCAUGAUGCAUUUGGGUUCUCAGCCUCACAAUACGGUUUUCUUCCUCUGUCUUCCGCAGCUUCUCAUUCACUAUCCCAGAAAAUUCUUCAAGUUGUUCUUCAACAACCUUGUUCUUCAAGUAUAAGAGUUGCUGGUUGUCCUCAGCCAUUUGCCUGAUUUGGUUCACAACCAUCAAUCCUUUGCAUUUGCCUAACACUUCACCAGCAGAAGAUGUAUUCAUCUCUGUCUCACCAUGGCAUUAUCAUUGGAAGGCAAGUUAUUAAACUUCUAUUCCUCCCCACUCCACAGCACCCUCUAUCAGUAACACCAAACCCUGCUUUUCUUUUUUUUCUUGUUUUUGAAAUACAUAUAUAGAUUGUAGUGUAUAGCAUUAAUAUGUAAUUAAUAACGAGGUGUAUAUAUUUUUAUAAAAAUACAUUUAGCUAAUAAAAUAUUAAAUUAAUGUUCUUUGAUG
rnacentral:lncRNA from 1 species